UUCGAUCCGUAGCUGGUUUGAGAGGACGACCAGCCACNCUGGGANUGAGACACGGCCCAGACUCNUACGGGAGGCAGCAGUGGGGAAUUUUGGACAAUGGGGGAAACCCUGAUCCAGCAAUGCCGCGUGUGCGAAGAAGNCCUUCGGGUUGUAAAGCACUUUUGGCAGGAACGAAACGGUGCCGGAUAAUACCUGGCGCCACUGACGGUACCUGCAGAAUAAGCACCGGCUAACUACGUGCCAGCAGCCGCGGUAAUACGUAGGGUGCAAGCGUUAAUCGGAAUUACUGGGCGUAAAGCGUGCGCAGGCGGUUCGGAAAGAAAGAUGUGAAAUCCCAGGGCUCAACCUUGGAACUGCAUUUUUAACUCCCGAACUAGAGUAUGUCAGAGGGGGGUGGAAUUCCACGUGUAGCAGUGAAAUGCGUAGAUAUGUGGAGGAACACCGAUGGCGAAGGCAGCCCCCUGGGAUAAUACUGACGCUCAUGCACGAAAGCGUGGGGAGCAAACAGGAUUAGAUACCCUGGUAGUCCACGCCCUAAACGAUGUCAACUAGCUGUCGGGGUCUUCGGACUUUGGUAGCGCAGCUAACGCGUGAAGUUGACCGCCUGGGGAGUACGGUCGCAAGAUUAAAACUCAAAGGAAUUGACGGGGACCCGCACAAGCGGUGGAUGAUGUGGAUUAAUUCGAUGCAACGCGAAAAACCUUACCUACCCUUGACAUGUCUGGAAUCCCGAAGAGAUUUGGGAGGCUCGAAAGAGAACCGAACACAGGGUG
rnacentral:rRNA from 1 species